AACUUCUGCAAGUUUAUUUUUGAAAGCAGAUGUCAUGCAUAUUUACGUUUUUAUUAAGGAGUUUCUGUUAGGAAUGUUUUAAUAUAGAAUGUUAAUUUAUAUGGAGGAAGCCUGAUACUGUAGAAGACGGAAGUUUUGUGCCUGAGAUACCAGUCUUUAAUUGUGGAGAUAUUGAAGUGCCCACAAUAGGACAAACCAGUGAUGACUUUCAAGACAUUUCGUCAGAACAGACUGUUCCUGCGUAUACCAGGCACUAAGGACAACAUUGAGAGAUGUGUAUUGGGAUGUUGCAGUGUAUUUAGAGAAUGAAAAAAGCUGUUCUCAGUUACUGUGCCAGGUGCCAUAUAACCUAAUUAAAAGGAAACAUGCUGCAGUCCAAGAGGCAUCAAAGACAAUCACCAUAGAAACACAAACAGAGGUGCCUUGCAUCCGUAUUGAAAAGCAUGGAGAUGAAUUAAAUUCCACAUUUAACAGUAGUGUGAAUGAAAGUUAUUCAAAGGAGGAUUUGGACUGGCAUCUAGAUGAAAGUUAUGUUAGUGACAUUGUAGAGGAAGAGAUAGAAGAAUAACCAUUGAAUAAAUGUACAGAGAGAAAAUUUAUCGUUCUUUGAAAAACAGUUGGACAAAUUGUUUGAAAAGUAUCAUUUAUGUGGGAGUAGACUUCUGAUUAGGAAGAGGACAAAUCAUCAGUGCAAAAUUCUUGUUGCUAUGGCAGCCAAAACAAAAGUAGAAAACAACAAGUAGAAAAACACUAUGCCUUGGAGGGGAUGCCAGAUGUGAUUCACCAGGUCACACUGUAAAGAAUGGAUCAUACUCUCUGACUGAUUUAGAAUGAAAUAUGAUUAUGGAUUGCCAGUUAUUUCAGAGUAAUGAGGUAAAGAAUUCUUACUGGAUGGAGCUGGAAGGUUUGAAGCCUUGUUUACAGUUUAUCAAUGUCUGAACAUUUCCCACCUUGUAACAGAGAGACAUGUCCAGGUGAAAAAGUAUAUGAAAGAGCAACAGCCAAAAAUUACUUACUGGUUUGAUGUCUGACAUGUUGCUAAAGUGUAAUGGUCAGUCCUGUUCAGACUAUUGUGUGGCAAGCCUAGUUAACUGAAGGAUUUUUCAUAGGCAAGAUACUGUAUUGACCCUAGACAAUACAGAGCUGUGAAGUGUGCUACCUGAUGCAAUUCAGAAGAUUAAAUGUGAGAGAUAAUGGAAGACAUGAAUGGAAAUGCUCGGAUAUGCUGGAAAAGUUAUAAAACAAGAAUACUUUGAUAGUUACCGGAAGUGCUACAAGUGUGUUGUCAUGUGAAAUGGAAUUUACCCCAACAGUGCUGCUUGACAUGUGUCUUUAAAAGUGUGAGACAACCAUGCACCAGCUGUAAACUGAGAUGGACCCACACAUGACAUAAUGUUGACUUUUCUAUGUAUUAUCAUCUGUACAGAAUAUGUGUAUGACAAGACUGUAAACAUAUUUUGUUUAAUCAUUUUUUAUUUCCAUUUAUAAAAUGACAUGCAUGUCAGAAGCAACUAUUAAUUUACCAGUUAUGCUAAUAGAAAUGUUAAAAUUUGAUAAAUCUAAUUUAAAGAAUAACCUUUUGUUAGACUUUUGAAGUUUAAUAUUAUAUGUCUGUGAUUUAUUUAAGGGACAAACAAUUAUAUUACAUAGAGUAAUUAUUUUAUUUUGUUAAAUAAAUGUAAUUAAACCCUUAAAGCCAAAAUGCAUAAAAAGAGGCAUAUUCAUUUAGAUAAAUAGAAUAUUAAGUAAAAUUGAAGUUUGACAUUUUCAUUUAAUAGCUAUUGAUAAUUUUGUCAGUCUGAACCAAACUGCUUAAAGCUUUGUUGAGAAAUACUGAGGUAAUUUUUAUUAUUUUUACAACACAAAUUUCUGAGUGAAAAUCCUAAAGAGUAAGAAUCAAGUUUUUAAAAAAGAUAUUGUCAGUGGAAAAGUUCCCAACACAUCUAAAACUUUACUAAAAUCAGAUUGACAACAUUUUGAGUUAUAAUACUGCCAAGAUGAUAUUACUGUUUUUAUGAGAGUUUCUACAAGAGAGAGUGUUUGUAUUAUACUUAAUAUUUGAUCUGGUGUUAUUGCAAACAUAAUCUUUCUGUACCUUAUAAAUAUUUUGAAGGUUAUUUGAGUUACAAUAUAAUGCACAUGAUUGAUAAAAUAUUGGGAAUUACAGUAUAAUAUUCUGAUUGAUAAAACUUUAGUUACAUUUUAACGAACAAUACCGGAAAUGUAAACACUGUAAAUACAGCUGAAUGUUAUGCCCCAAUCGAAGAAGGAGGGGUAUAUUGUU